GACGAACGCUGGCGGCGUGCUUAACACAUGCAAGUCGAGCGGUAAGGCCCUUUCGGGGGUACACGAGCGGCGAACGGGUGAGUAACACGUGGGUGACCUGCCCUCAGCUCUGGGAUAAGCCUGGGAAACCGGGUCUAAUACUGGAUAUGACUCCAUGACGCAUGUUGUGGGGUGGAAAGCCUUGUGCGGCUGAGGAUGGGCCCGCGGCCUAUCAGCUUGUUGGUGGGGUGANGGCCUACCAAGGCGACGACGGGUAGCCGGCCUGAGAGGGCGACCGGCCACACUGGGACUGAGACACGGCCCAGACUCCUACGGGAGGCAGCAGUGGGGAAUAUUGGACAAUGGGCGCAAGCCUGAUCCAGCGAUGCCGCGUGUGUGAAGAAGGCCUGCGGGGUUGUAAAAGCACUUUUCAGUAGGGAAGAAAAGCCGAGUGCUAAUAUCACUCGGUCUUGACGUUACUUACAGAAG
rnacentral:rRNA from 1 species